AGUGAACGCUGGCGGUAGGCCUAACACAUGCAAGUCGAACGGCAGCACAGAGGAGCUUGCUCCUUGGGUGGCGAGUGGCGGACGGGUGAGGAAUACAUCGGAAUCUACUCUGUCGUGGGGGAUAACGUAGGGAAACUUACGCUAAUACCGCAUACGACCUACGGGUGAAAGCAGGGGACCUUCGGGCCUUGCGCGAUUGAAUGAGCCGAUGUCGGAUUAGCUAGUUGGCGGGGUAAGGGCCCACCAAGGCGAAGAUCCGUAGCUGGUCUGAGAGGAUGAUCAGCCACACUGGAAAUGAGACACGGUCCAGACUCCUACGGGAGGCAGCAGUGGGGAAUAUUGGACAAUGGGCGCAAGCCUGAUCCAGCCAUACCGCGUGGGUGAAGAAGGCCUUCGGGUUGUAAAGCCCUUUUGUUGGGAAAGAAAUCCAGCUGGCUAAUACCCGGUUGGGAUGACGGUACCCAAAGAAUAAGCACCGGCUAACUUCGUGCCAGCAGCCGCGGUAA
rnacentral:rRNA from 1 species